rnacentral:rRNA from 1 species
AGAGUUUGAUCCUGGCUCAGAUUGAACGCUGGCGGAAUGCUUUACACAUGCAAGUCGAACGAUGAACCUUAGCUUGCUAAGGGGAUUAGUGGCGAACGGGUGAGUAAUAUAUCGGAACGUGCCUUGUAAUGGGGGAUAACUAGUCGAAAGAUUAGCUAAUACCGCAUACGCCCUGAGGGGGAAAGUAGGGGAUCUUCGGACCUUACGUUAUAAGAGCGGCCGAUAUCUGAUUAGCUAGUUGGUGGGGUAAUGGCCUACCAAGGCGACGAUCAGUAGCUGGUCUGAGAGGACGACCAGCCACACUGGAACUGAGACACGGUCCAGACUCCUACGGGAGGCAGCAGUGGGGAAUUUUGGACAAUGGGCGAAAGCCUGAUCCAGCCAUUCCGCGUGAGUGAAGAAGGCCUUCGGGUUGUAAAGCUCUUUCGCAAGGGAAGAAAACUUACAUUCUAAUAAAGUGUGAGGCUGACGGUACCUUGAUAAGAAGCACCGGCUAACUACGUGCCAGCAGCCGCGGUAAUACGUAGGGUGCGAGCGUUAAUCGGAAUUACUGGGCGUAAAGCGUGCGCAGGCGGUUUGGCAAGUCAGAUGUGAAAUCCCCGAGCUCAACUUGGGAACUGCGUUUGAAACUGCCAGACUAGAAUAUGUCAGAGGGGGGUAGAAUUCCACGUGUAGCAGUGAAAUGCGUAGAGAUGUGGAGGAAUACCAAUGGCGAAGGCAGCCCCCUGGGAUAAUAUUGACGCUCAUGCACGAAAGCGUGGGGAGCAAACAGGAUUAGAUACCCUGGUAGUCCACGCCCUAAACGAUGUCUACUAGUUGUUGGUGGAGUAAAAUCCAAGAGUAACGCAGCUAACGCGUGAAGUAGACCGCCUGGGGAGUACGGUCGCAAGAUUAAAACUCAAAGGAAUUGACGG